ensembl:lncRNA
CUCGUUGUAUAUAUAUAUCUAUAAAAAUAACCCACGUACAUGUUACAAGAAUCUAAAGCUAAUACAUUAUUAAAUAAUACAAUUUCUUUUCAUUUUAAAGAUACAUAUCAUAGUUUUUACAAAAUAUGAUCAUGGAGAAUUAAGCCGUUCUGAAUGUCUGAAAAAACAAUCUUGUGUGUGUGUAGAUCCUGUGUGUGUAGAUCCUGUGUGUGUAGAUCCUGUGUGUGUAGAUCCUGUGUGUAGAUCCUGUGUGUGUAGAUCCUGUGUGUGCAGAUCCUGUGUGUAGAUCCUAUGUGUGUAGAUCCUGUGUGUGUAGAUCCUGUGUGUAGAUCCUGUGUGUGUGUAGAUCCUGUGUGUAGAUCCUGUGUGUGUAGAUCCUGUGUGUAGAUCCUGUGUGUGUAGAUCCUGUGUGUAGAUCCUGUGUGUGUGUAGAUCCUGUGUGUGUAGAUCCUGUGUGUAGAUCCUGUGUGUAGAUCCUAUGUGUGUAGAUCCUGUGUGUGUAGAUCCUGUGUGUGUAGAUCCUGUGUGUAGAUCAUAUGUGUGUAGAUCCUGUGUGUGUAGAUCCUAUGUGUGUAGAUCCUGUGUGUGUAGAUCCUGUGUGUGUAGAUCCUGUGUGUGUGUAGAUCCUGUGUGUGUGUAGAUCCUGUGUGUGUAGAUCCUAUGUGUGUAGAUCCUGUGUGUGUAGAUCCUGUGUGUGUAGAUCCUAUGUGUGUAGAUCCUGUGUGUGUAGAUCCUGUGUGUGUGUGUGUAGAUCCUGUGUGUGUGUGUAGAUCAUGUGUGUGUAGAUCAUGUGUGUGUGUGUCUAGAUCCUGUGUGUGUAUCCUGUGUGUGUGUGUAGAUCCUGUGUGUGUGUAUCCUGUGUGUGUAGAUCCUAUGUGUGUAGAUCCUAUGUGUGUAGAUCCUGUGUGUGUAGAUCCUGUGUGUGUAGAUCCUGUGUGUGUAGAUCCUGUGUGUAGAUCCUAUGUGUGUAGAUCCUGUGUGUGUAGAUCCUGUGUGUGUAGAUCCUGUGUGUGUGUGUAGAUCCUGUGUGUGUGUGUCUAGAUCCUGUGUGUGUGUGUGUGUGUGUGUGUGUGUAGAUCCUAUGUGUGUGUGUAGUUCCUAUGUGUGUGUGUAGUUCCUGUGUGUGUGUAGUUACGGUGUGUGUGUGUAGAUACUGUGUGUGUGUGUAGUUCCUAUGUGUGUGUGUAGAUCCUGUGUGUGUGUGUAGAUCCUGUGUGUGUGUAGAUCCUGUGUGUGUGUAGAUCCUGUGUGUGUGUGUAGACCCUGUGUGUGUGUGUAGUUCCUAUGUGUGUGUGUAGUUCCUAUGUGUGUGUGUAGAUCCUGUGUGUGUGUAGAUCCUGUGUGUGUGUGUGUAGAUCCUGUGUGUGUGUAGAUCCUGUGUGUGUGUGUGUGUAGAUCCUGUGUGUGUGUGUGUGUAGAUCCUGUGUGUGUGUAGAUCCUGUGUGUGUGUGUAGAUCCUGUGUGUGUGUGUGUGUAGAUCCUAUGUGUGUGUGUAGUUCCUAUGUGUGUGUGUAGAUCCUGUGUGUGUGUGUAGAUCCUGUGUGUGUGUGUGUGUGUGUAGAUCCUAUGUGUGUGUGUAGUUCCUAUGUGUGUGUGUAGAUCCUGUGUGUGUGUGUAGAUCCUGUGUGUGUGUGUAGAUCCUGUGUGUGUGUAGAUCCUGUGUGUGUGUGUAGAUCCUGUGUGUGUGUAGAUCCUGUGUGUGUGUGUAGAUCCUGUGUGUGUGUGUGUAGAUCCUAUGUGUGUGUGUAGUUCCUAUGUGUGUGUGUAGAUCCUGUGUGUGUGUGUAGAUCCUGUGUGUGUGUGUGUGUAGAUCCUAUGUGUGUGUGUAGUUCCUAUGUGUGUGUGUAGAUCCUGUGUGUGUGUGUAGAUCCUGUGUGUGUAUUUUAUUAUUCAAUAUUAAACAUGUAAUAAUGCACAACAGUAUUCCUUGUAAUAAUAUGAACUUGUGAUAUUGGCUAUUAAAAUGUAAACUGCAAAAACACAUUUUGAAAAGUCAAUGGAACUAUAAAUUAAUCUCAUCUUUCUACAAAUGUUAUAGUCCACCUGCCAGAGGACUGAGGGCCUAAUCGAGAGCUUGUCUUUCUACAGAGUAUAUAGUCCACCUGCCAGAGGACUGAGGACC